CAUAAUCUAAAUUAACCUCUGUGCAGCAGAAUACUCAAACAAAACCUUGUUGCAGAAGCAUCAUGAACAUCCAGCGCAACAGCGGAAGCAAAAAAUAUUACAAGGGAAAAUCACAACAAUUGGCAAGGACGGAAUUUGAAGCAAUGGACAAAACUUAGGUGGGGAGGAACGCGGAAGACUGAAUAAACAAAUUGAAGAACCAGACGCGAAAGAAAUAUGUUAUUUAAGCGUGCCAUAGGCAAAGGUGAAAGUUCAGCCUGCUGAACGAAAAAUAAGCAAAUUCUUCAUCAAAUCUUCACCUGAAAAUCAGCAACCUUCUGAAAUGCAACAAUCUUGUGCACUAAACCGAAAGCUGACAAGACCUACACAUAAACUCCAAUGUUAGCAUGUUACAGAGAAAUAAAACUAAAAACAAGAAGGAAAUAAGGAAGAAUGAAGCAAGAUAUAAUUACCAAAGGAAGUGAAGAAAGCUAUCACCAAUAGGAACCUGCCUAAGAUUGUUAAUAAACCAGUAAAUGAGCCUAAACGGGAAAAAUCCCUUCAAAACACAUCGAAAAGUUGAGGAAAAAGUGACAAGCAAUGUUUUAUUAAGUACCAUAUUUUAACUCCACCAGAAACACUCGUGUUCUUCGAAACUCUAGAAUAACUGGCCUCAUUUAUUCAGAGUCCAAAAUAUCAGACGUAUUCAAAUUGAAUAAGGUACUCAAACAACCUGCAGUUUAUUAAAAAAAAAUAUAAAGAAAAUUUGGUAAGGCUCAUAAAUCUGAAGAACUCAAAUUAAACGAGUAGUAAAAGAAACUGUAAUGGAGAAGAUACAUCCACAACCAUGAACAUACUAACAUAAUUUCUCUACGACAUUUCUAUAUGCUGAAGAACUAAAACACCACCAGAAAAGAAAAUGGAGAAGGAAAUAUUAAACAUGUAAUACUUUCGAUAAAUCACAAAACGCGAGACUGGAAUUUAGCAAGUAAAAAUAUUUUUUCUAAUUUUUAGUUUGGUAUCUUAGUUGUCCUCAUUGUUGUUAACCUUUCCUGAGAGUUCUUUCAUUUUAAAUAAAAUUUCAUAAAAAAAAGAAAUCGAAAAUGGCAAGUGGCCACAGUUGAUCCUUUACAGGUUUGGCAACAUUCGAAGUCGCAUCAAGUCCUUCAAGCACCAAACAUAACUCAAUAAAUAGCAUAUACAAAACAUAAUUACGCCUUUUUUCAUCAUAAUACAACACGUUCGAACACAGUUCGAAUAAUUACCUGUCGAUAUCAACAAUUGUUGACCCAAACAGUGUCGAGUUGGCCCGCCAGAUUGAUCUUGCCAAGACAGUCAACGUGCAUGAUAGUGUAUCACUAAACAUCGAAGUACCUAAAGAACCUCGUCUAGCCAUCUUUGAUCAUGCCGCCCUCUUUAACUUUGCCGGGGAACACCAGAAGCAAGCUAGAAAUCCUAAACAAUUGAUAGCAGACAAUCAAUACCAGACUCCAUGUGCAUAUAUCGAAAAACCAAAUAACCCAUCAAAAAUAAUACGGUAUGAAUAUUAGUGAAGAAAAAAAAAAUAUUACAGAGCAAACAAACGGUGGAGUUCCUCCCCCUAAGAGAAUAUGUACAUUACACGACAACGGCGGAGAAUCAAAGACAAUUAACCAACCUAAAUUCGAUGCCGACGAACCUCAAUUUCGUUGCUCUUCUAGAUCUUCCGCUACCACUCUUUUUGCCGUCCUCCAAAUUUAGAGGAAAAAAAAACAGUAGUAACAAUGACAAGGCAAAAACAGAACAACAGAGCUAAUGGACAUGAAACUCAUCGUGAACGAGGAUCGACCGAGGUGGCGACGAAACAGGUGCCGGCUCGAAUGGAGUAGCGGUGGCGGUGCGACUGUUGGCCGAGUUUUGAAGCAAGUCACUGGAACGACUGGCCAAUCGCCGGAAAACAGGUUUAGAAUAACCCUUUCACAACCUCGUUCGAUUAUGAAACAUGAUUUACUUAUU
rnacentral:lncRNA from 1 species